GACGAACGCUGGCGGCGUGCUUAACACAUGCAAGUCGAACGGAAAGGCCCUGCUUUUGUGGGGUGCUCGAGUGGCGAACGGGUGAGUAACACGUGAGUAACCUGCCCUUGACUUUGGGAUAACUUCAGGAAACUGGGGCUAAUACCGGAUAGGAGCUCCUGCUGCAUGGUGGGGGUUGGAAAGUUUCGGCGGUUGGGGAUGGACUCGCGGCUUAUCAGCUUGUUGGUGGGGUAGUGGCUUACCAAGGCUUUGACGGGAAGCCGGCCUGAGAGGGUGACCGGCCACAUUGGGACUGAGAUACGGCCCAGACUCCUACGGGAGGCAGCAGUGGGGAAUAUUGCACAAUGGGCGGAAGCCUGAUGCAGCAACGCCGCGUGCGGGAUGACGGCCUUCGGGUUGUAAACCGCUUUCGCCAGUGACGAAGCGUGAGUGACGGUAAUGGGUAAAGAAGCACCGGCUAACUACGUG
rnacentral:rRNA from 1 species